rnacentral:rRNA from 1 species
AUUACCCAAUACGGACACAGGGAGGUAGUGACAAGAAAUAACAAUACAGGGCAAUUGUCUUGUAAUUGGAAUGAUGGUGACGUAAAAUCUCACCAGAGUAACAAUUGGAGGGCAAGUCUGGUGCCAGCAGCCGCGGUAAUUCCAGCUCCAAUAGCGUAUAUUAAACUUGUUGCAGUUAAAAAGCUCGUAGUUGAAUUUCUGCGUUGCCCGACUCGGCUACUUGCCUUGUCUGGUUUCGCUUUUGGGGUUCUCCCCUUUUUACUUUGAGAAAAUUAGAGUGUUUCAAGCAGACUUGUGUCUUGAAUACUUCAGCAUGGAAUAAUAAAGUAGGACUUUGGUUCUAUUUUGUUGGUUUGUGAACCUUAGUAAUGGUUAAUAGGAACGGUUGGGGGCAUUCGUAUUUAA